rnacentral:rRNA from 1 species
UACGGAGGGGGCGAGCGUUAUUCGGAAUUAUUGGGCGUAAAGGGCGCGUAGGCGGCUAUUCAAGUCAAAGGUGAAAUCCCUCGGCUCAACUGAGGAACUGCCUGUGAAACUGAAUGGCUUGAGUCCGGGAGGGGGUAGCGGAAUUCCCAGUGUAGCGGUGAAAUGCGUAGAUAUUGGGAGGAACACCAGUGGCGAAGGCGGCUACCUGGACCGGAACUGACGCUGAUGCGCGAAAGCGUGGGUAGCAAACAGG